GACUGACUUAUUUAUAUAUUUAAUCGGAUCUUAAUGAACAUACCUACAAUCUACAUGCCCGACAACCAGCAGGCAUAACCUACUGAAGAGGAAUAACGGACAAAAUUGGAUUAGUAAAUAUAGCAUAAACAAUAACAAAUAAAAUUAUGUCAAGAUGCCAGGACUGACAUCUACACAAGUAGUUGUCUGGAUGUUCAUGAAAUCUGUUGCAGCAGGAGAUAUGUAGCCCUUUGGAUAUGUUCAAUGUGUCGGAGAAUCACAGUGUGACCACUAUGCAACCUAUAUAAGAAUGUGUAGAAGCAGGAAUAUUCAUCUUUCACACUUUACACUCAAUUUAAAAACAACAAUACUUACUCUCACACAGACUAACUAUUGUUUUACUUACUUGAAAGUGCAAAUAAAAAAUACAAUUAUUAAGUAUUAUUUAAAAAAAUAGACAGGACAAGACCUUCACAUGUGCAAAAAGUGAUACAAUAAGCAUGCUCUCUCGCAUUAUCACAUACAGCAACUAUGGAAUAAACAUAUGUUUAUAGGGAAUUUGGUUAGUGUUUGUAUGAAUACAUCAGACCUAUGUUAUUUAAUCGAAGAAUUACUUUGGUAUUUCUUUGAUUAGGUAAUA